AUGAUCAAGCUACAAAGGGCAUAUGGUGAAUGCCUUGGCACCAGUAGCCGAUGAAGGACGUGAUAAGCUGCGAUAAGCUUCGGGUAGGCGCAAAUAGCCUGUGAUCCGGAGAUUUCCGAAUGGGGAAACCUGCAUACCUAACGGUAUGUACCGUAAAUUGAAUACAUAGAUUUGCGGGGGUAUACCCGGGGAACUGAAACAUCUAAGUACCCGGAGGAAGAGAAAGAAAAAUCGAUUUUCUUAGUAGCGGCGAGCGAAAAGGAAAGAGCCCAAACCAGAAAUUUAUUUCUGGGGUUGUGGAUAGACCAUCAUGAAGACAGACUUUAAUCGAAGAGAGCUGGAACGCUCUACCACAGAAGGUAAUAGUCCUGUAGGUAAAAAAUUAUGUCUUUUAGGUCUAAUCCAGAGUACCACGAGACACGUGAAACCUUGUGGGAAGCAGGGAGGACCACCUCCCAAGGCUAAAUACUAACUGGUGACCGAUAGUGAAGCAGUACCGUGAGGGAAAGGUGAAAAGAACCCCGGGAGGGGAGUGAAAUAGAACCUGAAACCGUAUGCUUACAAACAGUGGGAGCACGUUAAUGUGUGACCGCGUGCUUUUUGUAGAACGAGCCAGCGAGUUACGGUAUGUAGCAAGGUUAAGCACUUAAGGUGCGUAGCCGAAGGGAAACCGAGUCUGAAUAGGGCGACUAGUUGCAUGCCGUAGACCCGAAACCGAGUGACCUAUCCAUGGGCAGGUUGAAGCGGAAGUAAAAUUCCGUGGAGGACCGAACCACGUUGGUGUUGAAAAACCAUGGGAUGACCUGUGGAUAGCGGAGAAAUUCCAAUCGAACUCGGAGAUAGCUGGUUCUCCUCGAAAUAGCUUUAGGGCUAGCGUCUGGUUAUUGAGUAAUGGAGGUAGAGCACUGAAUGGGCUAGGGGCUGACAACAGUUACUGAACCCUAUCAAACUCCGAAUGCCAUAUACUUUUAUCCAGGCAGUCAGACUGCGAGUGAUAAGAUCCGUAGUCGAGAGGGAAACAACCCAGACCAUCAGCUAAGGUCCCAAAGUGUAAGUUAAGUGGAAAAGGAUGUGGGAUUUCUAAGACAACUAGGAUGUUGGCUUAGAAGCAGCCACUCAUUUAAAGAGUGCGUAAUAGCUCACUAGUCAAGAGAUCCUGCGCCGAAGAUGUCCGGGGCUCAAACUUACCACCGAAGCUAUGGAUUCAAUAGAAUGGUAGAGGAGCUUCCUGUAUGGGUAGAAGUCGUAUCGUAAGAAGCGGUGGACUGUACAGGAGUGAGUAUGCUGGCAUGAGUAGCGAGAAAUAAGUGAGAAUCUUAUUGGUCGAAAACCUAAGGUUUCCUGAGGAAGGUUCGUCCGCUCAGGGUUAGUCGGGACCUAAGCCCAGGCCGAAAGGCGUAGGUGAUGGACAAUCGGUUGAUAUUCCGAUACCGCCAACCUUNNNNNNNNNNNNNNNNNNNNNNNNNNNNNNNNNNNNNNNNNNNNNNNNNNNNNNNNNNNNNNNNNNNNNNNNNNNNNNNNNNNNNNNNNNNNNNNCUUUCGUUUGACAAAUGGGGUGACACAGAAGGAUAAGGUAUGCACACUAUUGGAUGUGUGUCUAAGCACUUAGGCGUGCUUGAUUGGCAAAUCCGUCAAGCUAAGCUGAGGUGUUAUGGGGAGCCUAUUUUGGCGAAGUGCCUGAUUCCACACUGUCAAGAAAAGCCUCUAUGGAGAAUGUUGGUGCCCGUACCGCAAACCGACACAGGUAGGUGAGGAGAGAAUCCUAAGACCAUCGGAAGAAUUGCUGUUAAGGAACUAGGCAAAUUGACCCCGUAACUUCGGGAGAAGGGGUGCCAUGGAAACAUGGCCGCAGUGAAUAGGCCCAAGCAACUGUUUAGCAAAAACACAGGUCUCUGCUAAAGCGAAAGCUGAUGUAUAGGGGCUGACGCCUGCCCGGUGCUGGAAGGUUAAAGGGAUCCGUUAGCGUAAGCGAAGCGGUGAACUUAAGCCCCAGUGAACGGCGGCCGUAACUAUAACGGUCCUAAGGUAGCGAAAUUCCUUGUCGGGUAAGUUCCGACCCGCACGAAUGGCGUAAUGACUUGGGCACUGUCUCAACAGCAAAUCCGGCGAAAUUGUAGUGCAAGUGAAGAUGCUUGCUACCCGCGAUAGGACGGAAAGACCCCGUAGAGCUUUACUGUAGCUUAACAUUGAAUUUCGGUAUUGUCUGUACAGGAUAGGUGGGAGACUUAGAAGCAGGAGCGUCAGUUUCUGUGGAGUCAUCCUUGGGAUACCACCCUGAUAGUACUGAAAUUCUAACCGGGGACCAUGAAUCUGGUCACGGGACAUUGUUAGGUGGGCAGUUUGACUGGGGCGGUCGCCUCCUAAAAAGUAACGGAGGCGCCCAAAGGUUCCCUCAGCGCGGUCGGAAAUCGCGCGUAGAGUGUAAAGGCAUAAGGGAGCCUGACUGCGACACAUACAGGUGGAGCAGGGACGAAAGUCGGGCUUAGUGAUCCGGUGGUUCCUCGUGGGAGGGCCAUCGCUCAACGGAUAAAAGCUACCUCGGGGAUAACAGGCUGAUCUCCCCCAAGAGUCCACAUCGACGGGGAGGUUUGGCACCUCGAUGUCGGCUCGUCGCAUCCUGGGGCUGGAGUAGGUCCCAAGGGUUGGGCUGUUCGCCCAUUAAAGCGGCACGCGAGCUGGGUUCAGAACGUCGUGAGACAGUUCGGUCCCUAUCCGUCGCGGGCGUAGGAAAUUUGAAGGGAGCUGUCCUUAGUACGAGAGGACCGGGAUGGACUGACCUCUGGUGCACCAGUUGUCACGCCAGUGGCACAGCUGGGUAGCUAAGUCGGGAAGGGAUAAACGCUGAAAGCAUCUAAGCGUGAAGCCCACCCUAAGAUGAGAUUUCCCAUGACGUAAGUCAAUAAGAUCCCUUGAAGAACACAAGGUUGAUAGGUCAGAGGUGUAAGUGCAGCAAUGUAUUUAGCUGACUGAUACUAAUAGAUCGAAGGCUUGAUCAAAUU
rnacentral:rRNA from 1 species